rnacentral:lncRNA from 1 species
CAGGCUAUAAUCAAAGUAGAAAGGUCUCACUGAUCGAACAACCACAAUCUACGUGCCCUCGGCACAAUCUGAUGCAAAAACUGCAAACUGGGUCCACCGUCAACCACAACGGCACCCGACAGUCCGAAACAGUCUGUACACUACUGUAAAAAUACACUCGGCAUCUCAGCACGAGCGUAAAUGCAUUCUAUACUAUUCUGGAUAUCCACCGCACACAAACUACAGUGAUAUAAACAAACUACGGCUCCU